GACGAACGCUGGCGGCGUGCUUAACACAUGCAAGUCGAACGGAAAGGCCCCUUUGGGGGUCCUCGAGUGGCGAACGGGUGCGUAACACGUGAGUAACCUGCCCUUGACUUCGGGAUAACUUCAGGAAACUGGGGCUAAUACCGGAUAGGAAUCCUUGCUGCAUGGGGGGGGUUGGAAAGCUUCGGCGGUUUUGGAUGGACUCGCGGCUUAUCUGCUUGUUGGUGUGGUAGUGGCUUACCAAGGCUUUGUCGGGUAGCCGGCCUGCGAGGGCGACCGGCCACAGUGGGACUGAGAGACGGCCCAGACACCGACGGGAGGGAGAAGGGGGGAAGAUUGCACAAUGGGCGGAAGCCUGAUGCAGAAACGCCGCGUGCGGGAUGACGGCCUUCGGGUUGUAAAACGCGUUCAGCAGGGGCGAAGCUUGUGGUGACGGUACCUGCAGAAGAAGCACCGGCUAACUACGUG
rnacentral:rRNA from 1 species